rnacentral:rRNA from 1 species
CGAAGGAUCCAAGCGUUAUCCGGAUUCAUUGGGUUUAAAGGGUGCGUAGGCGGUUUUGUAAGUCAGUGGUGAAAUCCGAUCGCUCAACGAUCGAACUGCCAUUGAUACUGCAGAACUAGAGUACAGAUGACGUUGGCGGAAUGUGUCAUGUAGCGGUGAAAUGCAUAGAUAUGACACAGAACACCGAUUGCGAAGGCAGCUGACGAAACUGCAACUGACGCUGAUGCACGAAAGUGCGGGGAUCAAACAGGAUUAGAUACCCUGGUAGUCCGCACCGUAAACGAUGAAUACUCGAUGUUUGCGAUAUACAGUAAGCGUCCAAGCGAAAGCGAUAAGUAUUCCACCUGGGGAGUACGCCCGCAAGGGUG